UACGGAGGGUGCAAGCGGUUAUCCGGAUUCACUGGGUUUAAAGGGUGCGUAGGUGGGAAUGUAAGUCAGUGGUGAAAUCUCCGUGCUUAACAUGGAACUGCCAUUGAUACUAUGUUUCUUGAAUCUUCCGGAGGUCAGCGGAAUAUGUCAUGUAGCGGUGAAAUGCUUAGAUAUGACAUAGAACACCAAAUUGCGAAGGCAGCUCACUACACGAAAUAUUGACAUGAGGCACGAAAGCGUGGGGAUCAAACAGG
rnacentral:rRNA from 1 species